GAAAUGCGAUAAGUAAUGUGAAUUGCAGAAUUCAGUGAAUCAUCGAAUCUUUGAACGCACAUUGCGCCCAUUAGUAUUCUAAUGGGCAUGCCUGUUCGAGCGUCAUUUCAACCCUCAAGCCUUAGUUGCUUGGUGUUGGGAGCUUAUCCUGCCGGAAGGCGGGACAACCCCUUAAAACUAUUGGCGGAGUCGCGGUGACCCCAAGCGCAGUAAUUCUUUUUCUCGCUUCAGGUGUUAACGCUGGCUUCCGGCCACUAAACCCCCCCUAUUUUCUAAUGGUUGACCUCGGAUCAGGUAGGACUACCCGCUGAACUUAA
rnacentral:misc_RNA from 1 species